rnacentral:rRNA from 1 species
GUCUAUGGUCAUAUCACCUUGAAUGUACCCAAUCUCAUCUGAUCUCAGAAGCUAAGUAGGGUCAAGCCUGAAGAGUACUUGGAUGGAAAAAUUUAUAUCAACCAAAGAUA